GACGAACGCUGGCGGCGUGCUUAACACAUGCAAGUCGAACGAUGAAGCCGGAGCUUGCUCCGGUGGAUUAGUGGCGAACGGGUGAGUAACACGUGAGCAAUCUGCCCUUGACUCUGGGAUAACUGCGGGAAAUUGUAGCUAAUACCGGAUACGACACCUUGGGGCAUCCCAGGGUGUGGAAAGAAUUUCGGUCAAGGAUGAGCUCGCGGCCUAUCAGCUAGUUGGUGAGGUAAUGGCUCACCAAGGCGACGACGGGUAGCCGGCCUGAGAGGGUGACCGGCCACACUGGAACUGAGACACGGUCCAGACUCCUACGGGAGGCAGCAGUGGGGAAUAUUGCACAAUGGGCGAAAGCCUGAUGCAGCAACGCCGCGUGAAGGAUGAAGGCCUUCGGGUUGUAAACCUCUUUUAGUAGGGAAGAAGCGAAAGUGACGGUACCUGCAGAAAAAGCACCGGCUAACUACGUGCCAGCAGCCGCCGUAA
rnacentral:rRNA from 1 species